rnacentral:sRNA from 1 species
GACAUGUGGGCCUCCCUAAAAUAUCCGACAUAUGUGCACGUAGCUAGGGUCUGAACGGGUUAUAUUAACUCGGGGUGAAUGAAAUAGUCAGCCAAAGUGUAAAAAGAAAUUGAUUGUGUAUGACAGUGAUUUCCAGCCAUUACAACCAAAGGAAUUUGCCAGGUUCCCGCUGCAAGAAAACAACCACUGCCAUCAAAUAAUUUGGGUCAAGCCGUUCUUAUGUGAUGAGUGAUCUACAGCCCUGUGUUGUCAAUUAAUUUGCCUAUUCAUUGUUAAAAAAACAGUGCCGUCAUAGUUGUUUUAUGUUUAAAGUCGUUUUUGUGUUCUUUGUUUUUCACAUUUGAUCUUUUAUUGUCACAAGCCACCGAAACGCAGCAGAGAAGUAAACGAUCAAGUUAAAGCCCCAGCCCGUUUUGACGCAUACUUGAUCGAUAUGACUCUUCAGCAUUCACCAUUAAAUCACCAAAACUUCUUCAGCAGGCGCCGCUUCUACCAACGAGACACAUCUAUGCACGCCAUCAAUCCAAGAACACCUAAACUUUACAGAUCAGCAGCGCACAUAAAAGCCAGCAUUGACCUCUGCCUGUGACGUCCGUACAGCAGCCGAAAAACAACCCUUACAAAAGCCAACAACAGUCAACGAAGCGGGUGAGUUACAAAGCAAAUGCACGAAAUGCAACAAAAUAUGUUACAAAUGCAGACAAUGCUGCAAACUGCAACAAUUGCAGUUGCAACAGACUCAAAUGCAGCAGUUAAGAAAAGACAUGGUUGAGGCACUAACAUCAAAACACGCGAAGCUGUCCGUCCAGAAUCCUCAAACAUCAUUGCAGCAGCCACCAGCCAGUAAUCGGACAUUGGAGCCAUCAAGUAUAUCACAAACCAUAUCACAGCUGCCACCACAACAAACCGCCAUACCGCCGCCGUCACAAUAAUACGCCACACAGUCGCACCAGUUAGUCCAGCCAAAGCAAGUAACGCAACAGGAAAUUCCAAGACAAUUUCGUCAACCAUGUACUGUCUAGCUUAUGAACCAGGACAUGAAUUCCCAAAUAGUGUUUUAAACACACUAAACCCUUAUAUUAAUUUGUCACAAAAGAAAAUUUACCCCCUUCCAAUAUUUUCAGGAUUGCCCGAGGAAUGACAAACUUUCUCCUAAGCAUUUUACAGUAACACCGAUGAAUUUCUUUACAAUAAUCUGCACAAUAUAAUGCGCCUGAGGAAAUCCAUUAAAGGCAAUGCUCGUGAAGCUGUGGAAUAUUAUUGGGAAGCUCUGCCAAUUUUGAAUGAAUAAUUUAAGGGAAACCUUCGGCAGACCGGAACAACUCAUCAAAAGCCUGAUUGAUAAGGUCCGUAAAAUUCCCCCUUUGGUCAAUGAUAAUUUGGAGGCAAUAGUAAGUUUCGCCAAUAAGAUGACAACCAUGGCUACGUUCUUAAAAAACGCUCGUGGAGAACAUCAUCUUUAUAAUCCAUUUUUGUUAAGUGAGUUGGUUGCCAAACUACAGAUUAAUGGACAAAUGGAAUGGGGUGAGAAAUGUCGGUUUUUAAAAGAAGCUCCUAACAUCGUCCACGAUACCUCGUCGCCACAACCAAACCGAAAGUUCGCAUGUGUCACCGUUAAAAAGUGUAUUGUCUGCAAGGGACUCUGCACGUCAAUCAAAAAGUGUAAACACUUUCUGGAAAUGUCUUGCGACGAAAAAUGGAAAAGGUAUACAAAACCACGUGAAAAAAUGAGUGUUUGAAAUAUCACAACAAUUUGCUUUAUAACGAUGUUGCGGACACUGACAAAAACGGUAAGAGUUAUGUAAAUCCAGCACUAUCACAAGAGCCCGAGCUGAGAAAUUGUCAUGCCCUAUGUGAAACCGGCAACAUUUUGUUCCAAAUAUUGCCCAUCCCAAUAUAUGAAAAAUAUUAAAUUAUUUCUACUUAUGGUUUUAUAGAUGACUGCGCAAAUGUAUCCAUGCUCGAUUUUUCAGUGAUUUAAAAGAACUUGAAAAAUAAAAGAAUAAAAGAAAAAGCGAAAAGCUUAAAGAAAGUAAAGUUGUAAAAACCUGUAAAAGAAAAAGAAACAUUUAUUAAAGAAGAAAACAUUGAAAAGAAAUAGAAAAAAAGUAAAUCAAAUAAUGUACAUUUUAAAGCUAAAAACUUAAGUCUAAAAAAAAAGCUAAAGCCAAGACUCUUCCACCUCCACUGCCACACAUAUAAAAGACUUCAGCAGCUGCAAUUGGCAUAUCCACAACCCCUGUCGCUACUCCACUGAGGGACCUAGACGCUGUCGCAUACCAAUGUCCACAAGGUGUUGGCAAAGAACCGCGCCCCAUCUACUGAGCCACAGCCGGAGCUCAACCGCCAGCAUCAAUUGCCACUCCAGAGAAAAGGUGGAGUGACCUCCUAUGGGGGUACGUGACAAAGCAGGAACAAUUAUCGUUACAGUGGCUUAAUGGGCAUUGUGUGGCUCAAGACUCCGAAGUUUUCGAUGUGACACUUAGUAGAAUCGGAGAAGGAGAUAAAAGAUACACCAUUAAAAGUGUUUAUACGAUGUCAGACCUAUCUUUGCCAGUACAAAGUUUUGAUUUGGCAAGUAUGGUGAAAUGUUCUACAAAUCUUGAUGUAUCGAAAAUAAAAUUUGUUAGUUACAAAAAUGUUCAACCAAAAUUAAUACUUAGCCUACAUCAUUGCUUUUUAACAGUCCAUUGGAAGUGCCCCGCUUGUUGUCAGCCGCUGGACCGAUCGUAACCACCACCAGAUUGUCCUUCAUGCCAGAAAGUUGUUGUAUGUUGUAUGUUGCCCAAUGACACUAAGGAAGAUCCCAUACAGCAACUAAACAUCAUGAUGCAAAGGUACUUUGAUAUAGAGACACUCGAUGUAAAAGUAACUACAUCUAAGCCUUUGCCAUCAGAGGAUAAACGUGCACUACAACUUUUAAAUGAAUUUUCAAGAAAGGUCGAUGAACGAUACGAGUGCCGACUUCUAUGGAAAGAAAAUUUGUCCUCAUUUCCAGAAUCGCAUGAAAUGGCUCUAAAACGUUUGUAUUAUGUGAAGAACAAAAUGGCCCGAAGCAGUGACUAUGCGAGUGCAUAUCAUUUGAAAAUCAGGGACUAUAUAGCAAAAGGUUAUGCCAGAAAACUCGAGGUAAACGAGAAUCCCGUUUUAUUUGCCGCACUUUGGAGUGCAAAAUAUAAACAAGAAUGGAAUCGUUUUCGAUGCCGCCUCUGAAGUUCAGAAUGUGUCUUUGAACAAAUGUCUCUUAAGCGGGCCGGACAUAAAUAAUACAUUGAUUUCAGCCAUUUUUAAAUUUCGCGAAGCCUCAGUUGCCGUUUGUGGAGACAUUAAAGAAAUGUUCCAUAAGAUCAAAAUCGUCAAAGAAGACCAGGACUGUCAGCGAUUCUUGUGGAGAAAUGGGGACAAAAGAAAAAGUGGAAGUGUACGUUAUGCAGAGGAUGAUAUUUGAAGCUAUAUGUUCGCCAAUAAUUGCCCAGUUUAUUAAAAACUUAAAUGCCCAAAGAUUUUUGCAAGAAGCCCCUCGAGCAGUGCAUGGUAUAAUCGACCGUUACUACGUCGACGAUUACGUCGAUUGUUUUGACACUGAGGACGAAGCUGUAAGUGUUGUAAAAGAUGUUAUCAAAAUUCAUAGUGCUGGUGGAUUUGAGCUAAGAAAUAUCAUUUCCGAUUCGGAAUGGGUGGUGAGAUCUUGUGGACAAUCGCACAACGGAGGAAACAGCGAUGAGUCUUUGAAUAAAGAUAAUAUAGAAAAAAAUUAGGAAUACACUGAUUACCAAACCCAGUUGUUUUUGGUUUUCGUAUCAAUUUCCAUAAAGUGGUGAAAUCUAUUUUAGAAUUUACCAAGGUUCCCAUCAAACGUGAAAUGUUUUCACUAAAUAGUCAAUUUAUGACCCAUUUGGAUUCUUAUGCGAAUUUACGAUUAUUCUCACCUUUUUUUGCCAAGAUUUUUUCAACACCAAAGUUGAUUUGCAUAUUUUCACUAAUGCUAGCGAAGAAGCGAAGGCGACAGUAGCGUCUUGGCGUGUGGUAAGUGUGGUCGGAAUUAAAGUCGUAUUUGUAAUAGGCAAAUCUGCUUGUGCUAUCAUAUUAUACGCAAAUUAGAACUGUAGGCAGCAGUAAUGGGUGUUCGUAUGAAGGACUUGAUAAUUGCUAACUAAAAGUUAAUAAAAUCCAUUUUUGGACAGAUUCUCGUACUGUUAUCCGCUGGAUUCGUUCUGAUCAGCGGAAGUACAAAUAAUAUGAAGCCUAUAGGAUGGCCGAGAGCAGCGAAAUGGAUAGUUGGAAUUGGUGUCCGGGAUCUAAAAAUCCAGCCGAUGACACAACAAGAGCAAAAUUUCCCAUUAAGUAUGAAGCGGGCGGACGGUGGACAAAUGGACCGGAGUUUUUACACUUGGAUGAGUCUCAAUGGCCCUUGAAGUUGCAAAUGGAAAACUGCCUGGAUGCUAGCAAAACAGAACGGCGAUCUAAAUAUGUCAUAUAUGUGGCUCGUCAGGUUUGCAAAUUACGUCCUGAUAUUAACAGGUUUUCCAAAUAUUCCAGAUUAAAACGCACUAUGGCUUGGGUUUAUCGAUAUGUAAAAAAUUUGUUUCGAAAAAUAAAAGGAGUCGACAUUAUCAAAGACAAGCUAAGCGUGGAAGAAGUAGCAUGUGCCGAAACGCACUUAUGUCGACGAAUACAACGUGAAGUUUUUCGGAUGGCCACAUCAAUUUGUCAACCGUAAGAGGCGAAGUGCGCUUGAAGUUCUGGGUUCCAUCGUUACGCCGAUUGCUGAAUAGUAUUCAGUCACGAUGUCAAGCCUUUCGCUAACGGAGAGCGCCAACCUCAAAUGGGCCCAUUGUCGAUAGAUCGUGUUACACGAUAUGUUCGUGCUUUCGCUUACACUGGUUUGGAUUAUUUUGGGCCGGAUGGCCUUGUUUACCUGCUUAACCGUUCGUGCUAUCCAUCUGAAGAUAGCCAAUGAUCUAUCUAGUGAUGCUUGUCUGUUAUGCAUUAGGAACUUCAUAAACCGACGUGGAACUUCAUAAAGCGCCACUAAUUUUGUUGGUAUCUAGAAAGAGUUGCAGGGUGAGAAAAACUUUAUUGAUAAUGAUAAGAUGACUUCAUAUCUUACAGCAUUGGGUAUCCAAUGGAAGUUCAACACGCCGACGAAUCCAAGCGAGGGUGGUGCAUGGGAGAGGCUCGUGCAGUCGGUCAAGAAGGUCCUUCAUAUGAUACUGCGCGAAUAUUCACCCAGACUUGAAACCCUGCAAAGUUUUUUAAUUGAAGCUGAGAAUAUGGUUAAUUCCAGACCAUUGACGCAUUUGGCUGUUACACCAGAAGAUCCCCACCCAUUGACGUCAAAUCACUUUUGAAUGGGCUGUGCAAAUUCAACCCAAACACCAGCGCCAUAUGAACCUCGUCUAAUGUGCCCUCUUAAGCAAUGGCGUAUUGUGCAAAUUUGAAAAAUGGUAUGUGGCAUCAAUGGGUUCGGGAAUAUUUGCCGGAGCUAACUCAACGCACAAAAUGGUGUCUUCCUUCUCAUCCUGUCAACAUUGGAAGCCUUGUUUUUAUAUGCGACUCAGACAUUCCCCGCACUCAGUGGAAGCGUGGAAAAGUUGUUGAAUUGCUUACUGGCAAAGAUGCCGUGGCCCGCUCUGCAAGAAUCAGUACCCAUUCCGGUUUUUGUAGAAGGUCAAUAUCAAACUUGCCGUUUUAGAUGUGGAUGCAGAAGAUUUGAGUGGUGAAGCCUCCCCAUCCGGGUCAUUUCACGGAGGCGAGGAUGUCUAUGAUGGUCACUCUAAAGUGAGUGGCGAAGAUGGUUACCCCUAAAAUGGGUGGCGAAGAUGGUCAACCCUAAAGUGGGCAACGCAAAAAGGGUUGAAUGUGGUAUGAACCGCAUCCAUUGAACACUAAAUGUUUUUGCAGUCUGAUCAUAAACAGUAAAAUUGAUAAUGUAUAUGUAAAUUUGUAUAAAAGCCCUUCAGGCCUUGAUUCUUACCUUUUUGCUUGGGUAACUUAACUAAACACGUAAGGUUAACCUUUAUAAUUUGUUAAAUUUUUAUAAAUUUUUACCUUUAUUUUAUUAGCGAAUAAACAUAACACAAUCUUUUGUCAUCAAUCAUUUAAACAA